GACGAACGCUGGCGGCGUGCCUAAUACAUGCCAGUCGAGCGGACUUAAAAAGCUUGCUUUUUAAGUUAGCGGCGGACGGGUGAGUAACACGUGGGCAACCUGCCUGUAAGACUGGGAUAACUUCGGGAAACCGGAGCUAAUACCGGAUAAUCCUUUUCUACUCAUGUAGAAAAGCUGAAAGACGGUUUACGCUGUCACUUACAGAUGGGCCCGCGGCGCAUUAGCUAGUUGGUGAGGUAACGGCUCACCAAGGCGACGAUGCGUAGCCGACCUGAGAGGGUGAUCGGCCACACUGGGACUGAGACACGGCCCAGACUCCUACGGGAGGCAGCAGUAGGGAAUCUUCCGCAAUGGACGAAAGUCUGACGGAGCAACGCCGCGUGAGUGAUGAAGGUUUUCGGAUCGUAAAACUCUGUUGUUAGGGAAGAACAAGUACGAGAGUAACUGCUCGUACCUUGACGGUACCUAACCAGAAAGCCACGGCUAACUACGUG
rnacentral:rRNA from 1 species